rnacentral:misc_RNA from 1 species
GGUUCCGAGGGUCAUCGGAACCA